rnacentral:tRNA from 1 species
GUAGCUCAGCAGGAUAGAGCGUCCCCCUCCUAAGGGGAAGGUCGCACGUUCGAAUCGUGUC